rnacentral:tRNA from 1 species
AUUUCUUUAGUAUCAAUUAGUACAAUUGACUUCCAAUCAAUCAGUUUCGGUCCAACCCGAAAAGAAAUA